rnacentral:misc_RNA from 1 species
UUUCCGUAGGUGAACCUGCGGAAGGAUCAUUACCUAGAGUUGCGGGCUUUGCCUGCCAUCUCUUACCCAUGUCUUUUGAGUACCUUCGUUUCCUCGGCGGGUCCGCCCGCCGACUGGACAAAACUUAAACCCUUUGUAAUUGAAAUCAGCGUCUGAAAAAACUUAAUAGUUACAACUUUCAACAACGGAUCUCUUGGUUCUG